rnacentral:tRNA from 1 species
GCCUCAGUAGCAUAGUGGUAGUGCAGCUGACUCGUAAUCAGCAGGUCGAGAGUUCGAAUCUCUCCUGAGGCU